AGGGGCUUUCCCUUCGGGGACAGAGUGACAGGUGGUGCAUGGUUGUCGUCAGCUCGUGUCGUGAGAUGUUGGGUUAAGUCCCGCAACGAGCGCAACCCUUGAUCUUAGUUGCCAGCAUUCAGUUGGGCACUCUAAGGUGACUGCCGGUGACAAACCGGAGGAAGGUGGGGAUGACGUCAAAUCAUCAUGCCCCUUAUGACCUGGGCUACACACGUGCUACAAUGGACAGAACAAAGGGCUGCAAGACCGCAAGGUUUAGCCAAUCCCAUAAAUCUGUUCUCAGUUCGGAUCGCAGUCUGCAACUCGACUGCGUGAAGCUGGAAUCGCUAGUAAUCGCGGAUCAGCAUGCCGCGGUGAAUACGUUCCCGGGUCUUGUACACACCGA
rnacentral:rRNA from 1 species